rnacentral:rRNA from 1 species
AUUGAACGCUGGCGGCAGGCCUAACACAUGCAAGUCGAGCGGAUGAAGGGAGCUUGCUCCUGGAUUCAGCGGCGGACGGGUGAGUAAUGCCUAGGAAUCUGCCUGGUAGUGGGGGAUAACGUCCGGAAACGGGCGCUAAUACCGCAUACGUCCUGAGGGAGAAAGUGGGGGAUCUUCGGACCUCACGCUAUCAGAUGAGCCUAGGUCGGAUUAGCUAGUUGGUGGGGUAAAGGCCUACCAAGGCGACGAUCCGUAACUGGUCUGAGAGGAUGAUCAGUCACACUGGAACUCAGACACGGUCCAGACUCCUACGGGAGGCAGCAGUGGGGAAUAUUGGAAAAUGGGCAAAGCCUGAUCCAGCCAUGCCGCGUGUGUGAAGAAGGUCUUCGGAUUGUAAAGCACUUUAAGUUGGGAGGAAGGGCAGUAAGUUAAUACCUUGCUGUUUUGACGUUACCAACAGAAUAAGCACCGGCUAACUUCGUG